rnacentral:rRNA from 1 species
GACGUAGGUGGCGAACGUUAUCCGGAAUUAUUGGGCGUAAAGGGUGCGUAGGCGGCAUGAUAAGUUAUUGGCGGUAAAUCGAGGCUCAACCUCGUGGAAACUGAUAAUACUGUUUUGCUUGAGUACAGGAGAGGUUAACGGAACUCCAUGUGGAGCGGUAAAAUGUGUAGAUAUAUGGAAGAACAUCAAUAACGGCGAAGGCAGUUAACUAUCCUAGGUUACUGAACGUUUGAGGCACGGAAAGCGAUGGGGAGCCAAAAAGGAGU